rnacentral:misc_RNA from 1 species
UAAUCAAUUCUCGUUGAGAAUUAUAAGCAAGUUAGGCUGGCAUGAUACAGUGGCACGAGAAGCAAUUUGAAAUUACUCACAGUUGGCUUUUAUGCGAGUGAAUGUUCUACUUCAGCUGAAUCUAUUGUGUAGUUCUAGAGGCUAGUGUCUUUUUAGUCUGCGGAUGUGUUCUGUACUGUCCAACAGUUGGGUCACCGGUGGGUUCGGGUGAUUGCUUACACGUGUAUUAUAUCUAUUGCUGUACUUUGAUAUUUCUCCUUUUAUUCAAGAUAUACAAUAAUGAAACUGAAAAGAGCUUGAGCAUAAGAUUCAAAGAGCAUGAAACAUACACCAGAUUGGAUUACGUACAAUCGACCGUAACAGAGCAUCAAAAGAAUGGAGUGGAGAAUUACAUAGAGAAACGAAGCAAGAUAACUACUAGGAUAAAAGUUUUUUUCUGUAAUAUCCAAUCCUUGGUAGUAGCAUUGACGAAUUGUAUUAAAGGCAUUUAUACCUACAGUGGCUCGCAAAGUCUUAUAAAAUUUUUCACUUUUGACAUUUCAUCAGCACUAUAAUGAGACUCAACUGCUACGAUUCUAUUGGCAAAAUUUGAAUGCAAUCUGAAAAUUGUACACAGAAGUAGCAAGACAUUUAUUUAUAUCUACCAAGAAAAAUUAGUAUACUAUGUGUAAAUUAGCAUACUAGUCACCUCAAGUAUACAAAAA